UACAGAGGUCUCAAGCGUUGUUCGGAUUCAUUGGGCGUAAAGGGCGCGUAGGCGGGAUGGCAAGUCGGUCGUGAAAUCCUUCGGCUCAACCGAAGAACGUCGGCCGAUACUGCCGUUCUUGAGGGAUGCAGAGGAGAUUGGAAUUCCCGGUGUAGCGGUGAAAUGUGUAGAGAUCGGGAGGAACACCGGUGGCGAAGGCGGCCGUGCUGGGCAGUGAGCUGACACUGAGGCGCGAAAGCUAGGGGAGCGGAACAGG
rnacentral:rRNA from 1 species